ensembl:snoRNA SNORD79 Small nucleolar RNA SNORD79
AACUUGUCAGUGAUGAUUAUGUUAAAAGCAAUGGGAAUCUCUCUGAAAAAGAAUGAAAGAUGACUUUGCUCUGAUGCAGUU